rnacentral:rRNA from 1 species
GAGUUUGAUCCUGGCUCAGGACGAACGCUGGCGGCGUGCUUAAUACAUGCAAGUCAAGGAGAACGUUUCCUUCGGGGAAUUAUUAAACUGGCGAACGGGUGAGUAACACGUAGGCAACCUGCCUUGGAGAUUGGGAUAACCCCAGGAAGCCGGGACUAAUACCGAAUAAUGCAGCGGCUUCUUCGGAAGAUGUUGUUAAGGCGGGCUUCGGCUCGCACUUCAAGAUGGGCCUGCGUCCGAUUAGCUUGUUGGUAAGGUAACGGCUUACCAAGGCGAUGAUCGGUAGCUGGUCUGAGAGGAUGAUCAGCCACACUGGGAUUGAGAUACGGCCCAGACUCCUACGGGAGGCAGCAGUAGGGAAUUUUGCGCAAUGGACGAAAGUCUGACGCAGCAACGCCGCGUGAUCGAUGAAGCUUCUAGGAGUGUAAAGAUCUGUCGUGAGGGAAGAAAAAUUUGGAUGUAAAUAAUGUUCAAACUUGACGGUACCUCACAAGAAA